AUGUACCUGGCGUAGACCGCGGUUCGUCUGCGCCGUCCGCGCGCACCUGACGACUGCGCGCUCCCUUGUGGAUGCC
rfam:Xanthomonas oryzae pv. oryzae KACC10331, complete genome.